GGUUAACCGAAUAGGGGAGCCGAAGGGAAACCGAGUCUUAACUGGGCGUUAAGUUGCAGGGUAUAGACCCGAAACCCGGUGAUCUAGCCAUGGGCAGGUUGAAGGUUGGGUAACACUAACUGGAGGACCGAACCGACUAAUGUUGAAAAAUUAGCGGAUGACUUGUGGCUGGGGGUGAAAGGCCAAUCAAACCGGGAGAUAGCUGGUUCUCCCCGAAAGCUAUUUAGGUAGCGCCUCGUGAAUUCAUCUUCGGGGGUAGAGCACUGUUUCGGCUAGGGGGUCAUCCCGACUUACCAACCCGAUGCAAACUGCGAAUACCGAAGAAUGUUAUCACGGGAGACACACGGCGGGUGCUAACGUCCGUCGUGAAGAGGGAAACAACCCAGACCGCCAGCUAAGGUCCCAAAGUCAUGGUUAAGUGGGAAACGAUGUGGGAAGGCACAGACAGCCAGGAUGUUGGCUUAGAAGCAGCCAUCAUUUAAAGAAAGCGUAAUAGCUCACUGGUCGAGUCGGCCUGCGCGGAAGAUGUAACGGGGCUAAACCAUGCACCGAAGCUGCGGCAGCGACACUAUGUGUUGUUGGGUAGGGGAGCGUUCUGUAAGCCGUUGAAGGUGUAUCGUGAGGUAUGCUGGAGGUAUCAGAAGUGCGAAUGCUGACAUAAGUAACGAUAAUGCGGGUGAAAAACCCGCACGCCGGAAGACCAAGGGUUCCUGUCCAACGUUAAUCGGGGCAGGGUGAGUCGACCCCUAAGGCGAGGCCGAAAGGCGUAGUCGAUGGGAAACAGGUUAAUAUUCCUGUACUUGGUGUUACUGCGAAGGGGGGACGGAGAAGGCUAUGUUAGCCGGGCGACGGUUGUCCCGGUUUAAGCAUGUAGGCGGAGGUUCCAGGUAAAUCCGGUACCUUUUAACGCUGAGGUGUGAUGACGAGGCACUACGGUGCUGAAGUAACAAAUGCCCUGCUUCCAGGAAAAGCCUCUAAGCAUCAGGUAACACGAAAUCGUACCCCAAACCGACACAGGUGGUCAGGUAGAGAAUACCAAGGCGCUUGAGAGAACUCGGGUGAAGGAACUAGGCAAAAUGGUGCCGUAACUUCGGGAGAAGGCACGCUGAUAUGUAGGUGAAGUGAUUUACUCAUGGAGCUGAAAUCAGUCGAAGAUACCAGCUGGCUGCAACUGUUUAUUAAAAACACAGCACUGUGCAAACACGAAAGUGGACGUAUACGGUGUGACGCCUGCCCGGUGCCGGAAGGUUAAUUGAUGGGGUUAUCCGUAAGGAGAAGCUCUUGAUCGAAGCCCCGGUAAACGGCGGCCGUAACUAUAACGGUCCUAAGGUAGCGAAAUUCCUUGUCGGGUAAGUUCCGACCUGCACGAAUGGCGUAAUGAUGGCCAGGCUGUCUCCACCCGAGACUCAGUGAAAUUGAACUCGCUGUGAAGAUGCAGUGUACCCGCGGCAAGACGGAAAGACCCCGUGAACCUUUACUAUAGCUUGACACUGAACACUGGUCCUUGAUGUGUAGGAUAGGUGGGAGGCUUUGAAGUGUGGACGCCAGUCUGCAUGGAGCCAUCCUUGAAAUACCACCCUUUAAUGGCUGGUGUUCUAACGUAGACCCGUAAUCCGGGUUGCGGACAGUGUCUGGUGGGUAGUUUGACUGGGGCGGUCUCCUCCUAAAGAGUAACGGAGGAGCACGAAGGUUAGCUAAUCCUGGUCGGACAUCAGGAGGUUAGUGCAAAGGCAUAAGCUAGCUUGACUGCGAGAGUGACGGCUCGAGCAGGUGCGAAAGCAGGUCUUAGUGAUCCGGUGGUUCUGAAUGGAAGGGCCAUCGCUCAACGGAUAAAAGGUACUCCGGGGAUAACAGGCUGAUACCGCCCAAGAGUUCAUAUCGACGGCGGUGUUUGGCACCUCGAUGUCGGCUCAUCACAUCCUGGGGCUGAAGUAGGUCCCAAGGGUAUGGCUGUUCGCCAUUUAAAGUGGUACGCGAGCUGGGUUUAGAACGUCGUGAGACAGUUCGGUCCCUAUCUGCCGUGGGCGCUGGAGAAUUGAGGGGGGCUGCUCCUAGUACGAGAGGACCGGAGUGGACGCAUCACUGGUGUUCGGGUUGUCAUGCCAAUGGCAUUGCCCGGUAGCUAAAUGCGGAAGAGAUAAGUGCUGAAAGCAUCUAAGCACGAAACUUGCCCCGAGAUGAGUUCUCCCUGACCCUUUAAGGGUCCUGAAGGAACGUUAAAGACGAUGACGUUGAUAGGUCGGGUGUGUAAGUGUAGCGAUACAUUGAGCUAACCGAUACUAAUGAACCGUGAGGCUUAACCUU
rnacentral:rRNA from 1 species